CAAUUAGUUCAUUUUGGCUGCAAUUGAUGGUGUGUUUUGGCCUCCUCCACUCCAGCGUCCUCUUCGAGAAUUCCGAUUUCGUUCGAGCUUGGACCCGACGACAAUUACAGCCUCUAAUCAGAGCCCUCCUCUAGCCAAAUUCACCAACCACUGCCGCCAGCUUCCGACUGACUUUGGCGUUUUACCAUGGCUGUGUUCUUUUUGGCAAUCGACUGCUCUUCUCUCUUCACAUCUUGAAGCUUUUCACCAAAACCAUAAGCAGGUUAUUAGCAAGCUUGAACGCCGCACUGUUGCCUACCAUGAGUCAGGGCAUGCAUUGUUGGUGGACUAACUGGCUUUCAUUUGUACCUUAUAGGUACCAAUCAGGUCAGACAUCUUCUUGGGGACAUUCCUCGAAUCAAGAGAUAGACUUGGUGGCCGGUUUCAUACUGAUUACUCAUUUGGUUGUCCAGUAGAUAUGGGAGCAUCAUGUGUGCAGUGAAGCAAGAGCACAACCCAAUUCCCUAAAAGCAAGAACAUGGAAGCUUUUAAAGAGCUUGUCUCUACCUGUAAUGGCUGCAGAUCUGCUCUUAUCUCCAAUCUUCAUUACUCCUGAUAAUCACACUCUUGCUGGGUUUAGCUUCGUUCAGUAUGUAAUACUUGUGUCAGUUUCAAUUUGAUGAAUGUUUAGUUGUAGACAAAUAAAAUUGUGCUUGUUGCUUUAGUGGGUAAAUUUGUAUUUUAGCAUCAGAACCUUUUUUGGAUUA